CAAUUUGACCUUAAAACCACUGUUUGUACCUUGAAUGAAAAAUGUAACAGCACAGGAACUUUAGAUCUAAAAAAAAAUAUAGUGCAGCUGCUGUCGUCUCUCCUGUAAUGUGAACUUUGGUUAUAAAUGAUUUACUUAUGGUCACUUGCAAAUCUUCUAUGAAAAUAAGUCCUUCCACUGUUUGACAAACAACCAAAAAUGGCACUGGUCCAUUAUUUGCUCCCUUUUUUCCCCGAAAUGGCACUGAUGUUAAAAACAGCUCUGAGAUGAUGUAGCAUUGACUACCAAAUACUGGACUGUCCCCUUCAAUCAGCCUCUUUCCUGCACUGAAUAAUUGUUUAAAUUUGGCUACAUUGGAAGGUUUUCGAGCAUGAACUGCCCUGUUAUGGUCUUGCCACCGAAUCUCAACUGGAUUCAAGUCAGGUUUUUGAUCCAACCACUCCAAAACCUUUAUUCUGUUUCUUUCUAGCCAUUCAGAGAUGCACUUGCGUGUGUGCUUCAGAUCAUUGUCCAACUGCAUAACCCAACCAUGCUUCAGUCUUAGGUCAAGAACUGACGGGUGGACAUUCUCUUUCAGGAUUUUCUGACAGAGAGCAGAAUUCAUAGUUCCAUCAAUUAUGACAAGUCGUCCAGGUCCUGAGGAAGCAAAGAAGCCCCACACCAUCACACUACCACCAACAUGUUUGACUGUCAAAAUGAUGUUUCAAUGGUGGAAUGCACUGUUAGCUUUACACCAGAUGUAACAGGACCCAUGUCUUCCACAAAGCUCCACAUUUGACUCAUCAGUCCACAGAAUAUUAACCCAAAAGUCUUGGGGUCAUCUAGAUGUUUUUUGGGAAGUGCAACAUGAACAUUUGUAUUCUUUUUGGUUAGCAGUAGUUUGCGUCUUGCAACUCUCCAAUGGAUGCCAUUCUUGCCCAGUGCCUUUCUUAUUGUGGAAAUGUGUACAUUGACCUUAACUGAGACAAGUGAGGCCUGCAAUUCUUUAGAUGGUUGUCUGGGUUCUUUUGUGAUCUCCUAGAUGAGUUGCCAAUGCGCUCUUAGUGAAAUUUUGGUAGGCUGGGCACUUCUGGGAAGGUUCAUCUUGCAUCUCCUAAGAACAUGGCAUCAUGUGCUGCUUUUUGAGACCUUCUACCCUGCUUCACAUUGCCAGACAGGUUCUAUUUAAGCGAUGUUUAGAUUCAACAGGACACCCAGUAAUCAUGCCUGGGUGUGGCUAGUGAAACUGAACACAACAGUCAACUCAAUUUGGUUAACUGGUCGAUGUAGUAUCUAAGGGUGCAACUACUUUUUCACAUAAAGCCACGUAGGGCUGAAUAACAUUUUUCUUUCAAUAAAUGAAAUACUGUAUUUUGUGUUUACUUGGGUUAUCUUUAACUAAUAUUAAAAGUAGUCUGAUGAUCUGAAACAUUCAAAUGUGACAAACAUGCAAAAAGAGAAGAAAUUGGGAAGGGGGCAAAUACUUUUUCACAGCACUGUAGGUGUUUGGAGAAGACCUCCCCAAGACCCAGGGUGAUUAUAGAGGUAAAGCCUGUCAAUAUCGCUUUAAAUAUAUCAGGAUGGCUCCUCAGUGGAUAGAGAGUAGGUCUAAAUGAAGGAGAGAGUCACAGUUGAAGAGACAGACAGUUUCCCUCUCUCCACUCAUUUCAGGGAAGACUCUUAUCAGUGUGACGAGUGAGAGAGCACAGAGUGCUGGAAAUGUAAUUAAUCAGAUUGCUCCCACACCUGAACAAGUCCUCACCCACCUGAUUCAAGCGCUGCUGAUAUUCAGCACAGGCAGAGAGAGACGUGGGGCAACAUACUGCAUGUAAUGCAGGAAACAAACCGCUACUAAAGACCAGAACAAGCACAGUGAAACCUCAGUCACAGUAACAAGCUACACUUAGGUAUAAGGUUUCUAAAUUAUUGCAAUAUAACAUUGUUGCAUUGCCUAUAGAAAUAAAAUGCUGUCAUUUUUAUUAACAUGGCCACAUUCACUGCUGUUUCCCUAAAAUGUAAUAUUUUCCUUUAAAAUCAAAACGUUAAAUCAAAAUACUAUUAUGUCUUUUAUCCCCACCACUUCCGUCACACUUCAUAGUUGUAGAAGGCAAAAUCUCUGAACUCAUGCAGGUGUGACAAUCAUAUUAACACAGGGUUUCAGGUGUGACUGGGGAAAUAUCAGGGCUUCAUGAGAUUCAACUCAAUUUAUUUUUUGGUUUAUGCAAACCUACUCCCAGCUAUCAUGAGUUCCAUAAUAAUUAAGGAUGCACCGAUAUGGGAAUUCUGGGUUAAUGCUGAUACUCAGUAUUUUUUCACAUCCAUAUCUAUUUAUGUCAAUGCUGAUGUAUAUAUAUAUGCACAUUUAUAAAAUAACUAAACUGGAACUAUGUCUACCUGGAUUAGUAUUACCGAGAACUAUUACAUGUAUUUGUACAAAGUUAUAAAUGCAGUAAAAUGAAUAAACUGCAGACAUUUUAGAACAGUAGCUCAGCAUCACCUACAUGUUCUGCUCAUCCAGUGUACAAUACACACAAUCAUAGAUUGUUAAACAUUAAAUUCUUUAAACAAUAAUGUGAUGGAUGUUUAUUUGCGUUGGUAACACUACAGUGUGCACUCUUAAAUAACUACACAUAAGUGUUAGGAUAAUCUUUGUUUAUGUUAUGUAUUUCUGAAUAAUAAUAAAAAAAAAAGAAUAUCAGCCAAUCUAUCAGAUUUUUAAAUCCUCAAAUACCGAAAUCAGUAUCAGUCUUAAAAAUCGUCUAUUGGUCAGGCUCAAUACCACUAACAACAUUCACAUUCUCUAAAAAUUCAGUAGUUUAGUACUUUACCUCUAACGUUAUGUGAUAAAACAAUGCACUGCUAUAAACAAAGUAAUGGCUUUGCCUAAAUAGAGAAGAAAACAUUUUCUACAAAUUGUACCAGUGUAACCUAAAAUGGAGCAAAACCAAUCCGUGGAGUUACUUUCACAACAAAAUAAACUGUAUAAAGUCUUAACUUGGAGACACGAAAACAUUUCACGUGAAAGUUUAACUCGAAGCUACACUAGGUAAGAUCCAUAGAUUUCGAGACCUCUCUUGUAGAAAUGUGUAAUUGCACACAACAUAUGGAGGUACAUUUUAUAAUGUAGGUUGCGCUUCAGACCCCCAUCCCCGAGCGGGUGAAUCUGAUGACUGUGAGCGUGUUUAAAGUGUAUUCAAAGAGAACUCAGUCAAAACUGGGUGAAAAAUGUGUCUUCUGAUAAUGUGAGAGAAUGAUCUACUAGUGUCAUCAGAUUUUUUUAUCAGUAUAAUGUUGAUUGUGCAUUUGAGACCCAAACAUCAAGCCAGAUCUUCUUUGCGAGUCUGACGUGGUCCAAAAACUCCUGUGAAAUCCGACCUGACACUCGACUUUUAAACUCUUAUUUCAGGACUGACAGGGCGCCUCGCAGCAGGACACACACGACAUUUUUUUUUAUCUCCUAACACUACUUUUUAAAUUUUAAACAAAAAAAAAUCUUAUAGUGCUUUAAAUCAAACCCUGAUUUGUAAAUCUUCUCCUACAUUUUUUGUUUGUUCAUGACGUCACCCAAAGAGAAACAUUUAAAAACAUUUACACUAAAAUUUCCCAUUUUUAAGUAUUUGUUUAACUUUUGCUGCAUGGGUCGACUCCCAGAAGAGAAAGUUUAUUAGUUUAGUUGCAUCAUGCCUCAGGCCAAAAAGCAGACUGUUCGGUCAACAUCCUCUGUUUAUCUGAGUUUAGUGCUUGUCAAAAAAGCCAUAAUGAGGACAGAGGUUAUGAUGAAUGAUGGCUUAUGCUGACAGAUCUCACCCACCAGCUCCCUCAAUAAUGAAGAAUUGAUAAGAAGAGACACUAACAGCUUAAAAGUGAAUACUUUAUCAGUAUAGCCUGUUUACAAGGCACUUUAUGUUUUCAAAGCAGGAGAUAAAGAAAACAUCACAAAUAAUUUUAUAUAAUACGUUUUUUUAGCUAGAAUAAGCAUAGCUUAAAUGUAAAUGAAACAGUAUUACCAUACACAAUUUGUUUUUGGUAAUUUCUCCCUUUAUUCGUAGGUUGUUUUGGGUCUCUCCCCUAUCACAGAACAGCACUGCCAGCUGGAAGAGCAAUAACUCGUAUAUAAUUUUCUACGACAUGCACAACAGCAGCCUCCCACCACACUUUAGCCUGCUACCAUACUUUAGCCUGUUACCGCAUAGCAUUGAAACAGCUCAAGCUCCCAUAAUGAGUACACGUCCUAGCGGACAAAGAGAUAUGUUUACAUUUGAAGAAGGAAUUAGAAAACAUGACAACCUUCUUACUAAACUGAACAGCCCUUGUCAGACAUCACUGGGGAAUUUGACGUGAAACAGAGCUCACCUACACAUUGCAAUGCAUUAGUGGAAUUACAGGAAUGGGAAUUUACCUGCUGACUGACACUUCACUCAGGGUGGGACUUGGUGACCUUGAUGUAAUUUCUAUAACUGAAGUCUUCUCAUGAUUGGCCACUUCCAGCACUGUGGAAACUGGUGUCUGGGCAGAGCUCUGGACUGUUGCACCUGUAUAAAAAAAGUAAUUAAUUAAACAUAGAACAAUAUAUAUUGUUUUUCCUUAAAUUGGUGACAAAUUCAUAAGAAACGUGUAGAAUUUCAAUUUCACCUCACAGGCCUUUGCAUGAAUAAGCAGACAUCCUGUUCUAUGUUUUACCUACCUCUGGGUGUGUGUUUUGUAUGUGUGUGGGUGCGUAAGCUUUUCAUUUUUCAGUGGCAGAAAAAAUGUAGGAGGAAUAUAUUCAACAGAAAAUUACACAGAAGCCUCGACAAUUAAACAUAAUAUCAGAUCUGCCAGUAUUUAAUUUGUCCACUCUUUACUUUUGUGCACCAUACUUCUAUCCUUCCAAUCUAACCUGCAUAAGAAAGAGGAAAGUCAAAGUUUUAAAAAAAGGAGGUUUCAGAACUAGAAUUUAAAAGACAUACAGAAAAUGGGACUUUGCAAGACCUGGCUGACCAUCAAAACUGACGCCAUCAGAUACACAGUACUUAAAGCUUUCAUCUUUGAGAGAGAGGAGAAAAUCAGCUUCCACUCUUGCUUUAGAUCUGAAAACAUCCACAGGUGUUUCUGUCCAUCCUUCCACUGUGAGAAGACAACUCAGCGCUAUGGGUUUUAAAGCAUGUGUCAAGAAGCUGUUACUGAGAGAAAGAAAUAAACAAAAUUAAAAAAAAAGAAGAAAAUUCGCACUGAAACAUCAAAACCAGACAUCUGAGUUGUGGAUUGAGGUUUCAUAGAGUGACAGUUCUAAAUUUGUAAUUGGGAUUACUUGGAUCAUAAGAAGCAGAGUGUGUGACCAUCUUGAAAGACUGUCUUCUCAAGGUGUGGAAAAAUAUCCAUUUUUUAAAACUGAAGAAUAGAAGCUGUCAUAAAGGUAAAGGGUGGACACACUAAAUACUGAAAAUACUGAUCUUAUAUUUAGUUCUUGUAGCUUCUGUGUAAUUUUCUGUUCCUAAUGUUUAUUUUUUCUCCUGAUGCUGCAAAAUGAACAACUUGUACUUAAUGACUGUUUUGAGGGGUAAGUAAAUAAAUGAAAGGGUGUCUCUGAACUACAGUUCUCCACUUCAUGAUUAUUAACGUCUUCAAACAUAACCCCACACUUUAUGAUGAUUAACUUAAGACUAUUGGUUUUAAAGGAAGUGCAAAGAAAUGCAAGAAAAUUAAUAUGAAUUUACUGCUCAUGAUUAAUGUUUCGGAUUAAUCGGAUUACUUAAAGGAGGUUUACAGCCUAAGCAGCUGUCUGAAACUGAUAGAAUAUAUAACAAUCUGAGAUUGCAAAUAUUAACUUUCUGUUAACCUAAAUAUAUCAUUGUGGAGUAAAGAUGCUUAUGGAAAGAAAUUCUACUUGAUUUGCCACAUCUGAAUAUAAGCCUAGUGUUUAUGCCUUGAUCUACUGGGUGUCUCAACGGUGGCAUGAAGAACCCAGGAGAAGCAAUUUCCUCCCACUUACAGGGAGCUCUUAAUUAUACUUAGCACCUGCUUCAAAUUUCUGAGUUUAACUGCACCCACUUCAGUGAUACAAGUAAGGCUGCAUGAUAAACCAGUGAAUUAGAAGCUCAACAUAAACAAAAUUACAUGGCACCGUUUCAGUAAAGAACUCACCCUUGUUGACCUAAUGCAUGGCAUUCGAUUUUAUUCAUUUGACUGCUGGACAAACACGCACAUGCGCUUCGAGACCACACAAACCUUACACUGUCUUUUCAGGGUGUUUGACUUGAUCAGUUCUGCUGUCCUGUAGUGCUUUGUCAACUGUCAGUUGUGACCACAGGGCCACUGUCAGCAGAAUAUUUUAGGCUCUAAAACUGUUGUGGAUUAGUUUAAUAUACAGGAUGACUUUGUUUUUAACACAGUCUUUAGGCAUCAUUUUGCAAUUAGGGAUGUCCUGAUUCUUUUUUUGGCCCAGAUCUGAUAUAAGUCCUUCAAUAUAGAGUAUCAGUCUGUUCUGAUAUUUGUGUUUGUUUAGGUAAGAUUAUGCUACUCUGCUAAUUAAACCUUCAGUAAAAUCAGUUCAUUUUUAGUGUGAGAAUAACAUGGAAUUCUAGACUGAUAUGUUGUUUUUUAACCUACUUUUUCAAAAUUUCCUUUUAGUAGUGUGUAAUAUUGGCUUAUAAUCACAUUUGAUUGACUACCAGUUACUGCAGUGAAAUACAUUUUUCAGUGAAGCAACUUCAUUUUUGAUGUGUAUAGCAGUAUAUACUCAGUUUUACUGCUUUAUUUUUAUUGGACUACUUAUGUGAAACAACCAUCUAAUAGGGUGGUGAAUAUGCUUAGAUUUAAAAUUGCAACAUGCCAUCUUUAGGUGCUCAUUUCUCUUACCUUUAAACACACUAUUACUGAUAGCAUCAGAUUCACAUGGGACCAGGAUUACUUUAGCCUCUACCUGAUCCAUUAAAUUAAGAUAAGGACCGACAUCCUUGAAUUCAAAACACCUAAUAGUAAAAAAUAAGACAAUUUUAGACAUUUUAUGACCUUAAAUCUUCAAUAUAUUUUUUUAAGACUUCAUAGGACUUGUAUUAUAACCCCUUUCACAACACUGCAUUUCUGUUUUUUAUUUACAUUUUACACAGCGCUCAACUUUUUUGGAAAUGAGAUUGUUCAUCAGAAGAUGCAAUGUGAUGUCAACAGCUUUACUGAACAUUCUCAUUGAAAGUGCUCAAAUAAACCACCUGAAAUCACUUCAUAUCUUCGGGCAUGCUGGCUCCAAGACCCUCUGGUGAUUUGACAUGAAUUGCUUUGUGCCUUGACUGUGACUUCACUGAAUGGUAACGAAGUCCAUGCAGCUAACAAAUAACCAUUCCAAGCAGACACACAAACACAGCCACCAUAAGCACUAGUGCCUAUUUCUGCACUGGAAAUUGCUUAUUGACUUGAAUCCACCUGGACCAGCAAAAAGCUUUUCUAGGUCCCCUUAUUUUGGAGCGAAGCCCUAUCUCUGAUGGAGAUAAUGGAGUUGUUGUUACCUCCUGAACAUGAUGCCUCCACUAACUUCCCUGCUUCUUGCUUUAUCUGGGUCCUUCUAGACGUCUCCAAACGACCUCUGACCUGGGCGAUGAGACGGGAAAACUCACUGCUGUGUUGUUUUCCUACCAAAGUAAGAAACAAAUGAGGAAAUGGAGAUCACAUUUGAGUGAUGCGAAUACAGUCAAAGCAAUAUAUUUAGAUCAAGAAUUAAACAACGCUCAGUAACUCUAACUGAUUUAGGGUCUAUACACCAAUAAUUUGACAAAAACAUUUAAAUCGACCUGCCACUCAAGAUCAGGAAAUAAAGACCACAUUUGUAUAGAACACAUGAAAGCAAUAUGAUCAGUUCAGGGCAGAGAGAGGAGGGGGAAAAAAAAAAAA